rnacentral:misc_RNA from 1 species
AAGUCGUAACAAGGUUUCCGUAGGUGAACCUGCGGAAGGAUCAUUAAAAGGAAUCGAAAAGGGGACUUCCGGCCCUCAUUUCUCGACCAAAGCUCUCACCGAGUACCUCUUCCACGUUGCUUCCCCCGGGGGGAUGACCCUCCCCUUCGUUCUCCUGGGGGGAAGGUUGCCAUGACAAAAACUAUGCCAAAAGAUGAAUGCGGUCUGAACCGGGUAAACCCCCCUGCUCCUCGUGGGGGGGCGCCCGCACCUUCCUUUCCUCUUUCCCUUUCUCCCUCUCUUCCAGGGUAGGGAGAAAGAAAAAAGAGAAAAAAGCGAAUUAAGUCAAAACUUUCAACAACGGAUCUCUUGGCUCUC